UGUGGAAGGAAAGCAGGGGUAGUGGGGCGGCGGCCUCUGAAAGAAGAGGAAGCCAGGGGAUUAGAAACUCCUCCUGGUGCGGAUGGUCCAAGUUAAGCAAAGCUUAACCUGUGCAGCAGCUUAAGAAGGUGAAGCCAGAAGAACAGACCAUUUUCUCUAGUGAUGGAGAAUAAGCAACGACAUCAGGAAGCCAUGCCACGACUGGCGAUUACAGAAGCUGCCAUUUCAAGGCGUCCAGUUAGUUCCUCUAAACUCCACUCAAGAUAGACUCAAAGGAAGGCUCUUCAGUGGAGGCAGAGGGAACACUUUCACUCCACUGCACCCUUCUGGACUCCUCUGGGCUCAUUCAUUCAGGUGUUGUCAUAACAGUUCUAAAUGGAGUAAAAUCUGUUUUCUCAAUUACUGAUAUCAAAUAAGCAUCACAAGGGUGAAGUGAUUUACUGUGGUUAUAUGGUUACACUAUUCCUCUAAUUGCGCCCCUGGGGUAACUCUCCAGCACCACAGUCUGAAUGUGAGCCCAGCAGAAAGGCUCAGGAAUUCCUUAAGGGGCUCCUUUCCCUUCAGACAUCCUUGAAUUGUAUAAUUAUUGGACGAGCAGGGACCAAGGUGGUGAACACCUAUAACCAUUGCCCUUCCUUUGAGCCCCAAAUCAGCUCUGUGAUUGAUUCCUUGAUGCAGCCUGGCCAACAAGGGUGGAAGGGACCUCCAGCUGACUUGCUUUUUUCAUAGAACCAAUUCUGAGAAGUGGGUAUAGGAGGGUAAAGUGGGCCUUUGGAAUCCCUCACCUGCUACCUCCUCUGCUGCUGUCAGCAUUUUCUCUCACCCUUAUCUCAUCAGUGUUCUGUCCUGUGCUCCAUCACAUCAGAGCCAACUCCCUGCUGUCUAAAAAGAUGAGACAGAUAAAGCAAUUUACACUGUGAAUGGGGGAAGGAGCACUUUUCUUCCCCAUACAUGUGUGCACCCACACACAUCCACACUCACACCCUUUCCUCCUGGAUAGCAGCCACACUUGUCAUCUCACCCAACAAAGUCAUUCUGAUGGAGGAAAUGUAAGCCUAAUGGAAGAGGAGAAAAAAUGAACUUGUCAUUUCCCUACUUAAAUGUUUUCAGUUAUUUACAGCACUUCAUCCCAAAGCCCAAAGCUAUUCAGUUAAAGGAGAUGUGCAGAAAGGCUCAUAGCUUGGAAGGGCAAAGCCUGGUGAGCAGGGCAACACCUAUCUAGGUGCUCAAUGGUUCAUCUUUUUAUUUUAUUUUAUUUUUUAACUUACUGUUGCACUAUUUGAUUAUUUUAUCUUGGCAGGGGUGAGGGAGGUAACUGGGUUUGUGUAUUUUUGGAGGAGGUGCUGGGGAUUGAACUUAGGACCUCCUGCAAGCUAGGCAUGUGCUUUACCACUUGAGCUACACCCUCCCCCACUCAGUGGUUCAGCUUCGAUUCCUGUCUUCUUGUCAUCAACCCUAUGCAGUCCAUCGGCAAGUCCUGUGGGUUCUAUCUUCAAACUGUACCCUACAUGUAAUAAUUUUUACCAUCUGCCCAUUACAUCCUAGUUCAGGGCACCAUCACCUCUUUCUAGGUACCUGCACUGCCUUCCCACCUUCUCCCUCCUUCUCCUCUACCCACUACCCCCUACAAUCCAUUCUCUGCAGGAUAUCCCAAGUGACCUCUCAAAAAUGUAAAUCAAAUCAUGUUACUUUUAAGUUUAAAACUUCCCAUAUACAAGUCUGUUACUUUUCUUAUUCCUCAAGCGUUUUGUCAUUGUAAUUAGCAUGGAAAAUCCUUUCACCACCAAAGCUGUGUGCUGUCCUCCAGGAUACACAGACGCUGGGAGCUGAGGACACUCCCUUCCAGAGGCAAGAGAAAGGGUGGGUGGCGAUUGCUAUCAGAGGGAAGAAAGCUAGCAGAGCCCCGGGGGCCUGCAGCCAACAUAGAAAGGAGGAUGCUGAGAGUUGACUGACGCAGGCCUGAUAAGGGGUCCAGGCUGAGCCAGAGAGGACCCCUAGCAGGCCUGUGAGGCUCUACAAGGUGUGGCUUCUGCCCCUGUCUCCAGCCUUUCCUCCCAUUCUCACUCCCUUCCCAGAGUUCUGGGCUCCAGCUAUAUUCAAAUGUCUUUCCUUCCUGAAUGCAGGAAGACCUCCUUGCCUUGCCACUCCUUCUAUCUGCUCAGAGGGACUUCCACUAGCUUUUCUUCUUGGUAAAUAUUUGUUCAGUUCACACAAUUUCCUGAUAGACUUUUCCCCAUCACAAUUUAAUGUUUUCAUUUUCCCCGUUGCUCUGAAGUUGUAUGAUUGUUAAGCCUCUUCUGUUACUCUAAAUGACAGCUUUUCAUAACAUCUUCCCAAUAGUUUUCCAACUUUUGGAGUUUUCUAUAUGCCAUGAAAAUUAAUACUCACAAUUCUAUUUGAUAUAAAAAAAAGAUUAUGCUGAACAAUGUCCUAUUAAAUCAGAAAGGCAACGCAUUGUUAAGGCUAAUGCAGAUGUUGGCCAGUGGACCAGAAGAGCAUCUAAGUAUACUAGUCAGUCUGACAAGUAGCUUCUCCACGCUAAUUGCCUCCUUUUCUGGACCCUGGAUUAUUGCACAAAGAGUAACACUCAUUUCUUUUUUCUUUUCCCAUGCACAUUCAUUUUGUCUCUGCAACACUUCUCAACCAAGUAUUAUGGAAACAUAGGUAAUAAACAGAAAGCAAAACCUUGUAAGUGAGUAUCUAUUUGCUCAGGGCACAUAAAUAGUGUUCAAGAAGAAUGCUUUUUAUUUUUUUAACUAAAGGAUUAUUUACUUUAUUAUCUACCUACUUCAUUGAAGGAAGACAGACUGGUUUUAAACAGAAAUAAGGGCUAUUAAUUUUUAUGCAUUUCAUUCACAAUUCUAUUCUGGAAGGAGGAUUCCCAUUAAUAAAUAGAAAUAUUUAUAAGUACUAUGAUAUCUAAAUCAGAGUAUACAGAGUCCUGUUCUUUGGGGUGAGUAUUUAGAGUGUACUUUUCAGCUGAAUGGAGAGAUACUGACAGGACCAGAGUACUUGGAAGAAGGCACAUUAUCACUGGAGCUAAACUUGAGUUCUUUUAUAGCAGGACUGGACAGCUGCUUGCACCUGCCUGAACUUUUUUUCAGGCUGAAGUUAUCUCUUCCAGGAUCCUAUGUCAUGCGGCAUAAAGCUUUGGUUUCAAUCAGUCACUAACACAGGAGCUUGGAUAUACUUGAAAUUCCUUUUGGGGAAAAAAUUGGCCAAGGCUUUUGGCAGCAUAGCUUCUCACACCCAGGUCAAAGUGGGCUGGCUCUCCAUGAGGACAAGAGUGCAUAUUGGUAUCUCACCCUUAAAGUCACAGAAUUGCAGCAUUUGUACCCAGAAAGGGACUUUAGAGUUCAUGUGGUCCAACUUACUUCACAUUUUUCUAUAACAUUGUAUUAGUGUUCCUUGCUCCCUUAUAGCAGAUAGCUGAAACCCUUCAUUUAAUUGACAAGAUAGAACAUUAGAGGAUGUGAAGACAAAGAAAUGAGAUUUAGCAGGUAUUUCAAGCAGCCUCACUUAUGAUUCCUGAUACUUAAGAUAGUCCAGCGGUGGGGAGGGUAUAUAGCUCGGGGUUAGAUUGCAUGCUUAGCACGCACGAGGUUCUGGGUUCAAUGUCAGUACCUCCAUUAAAAAAGAAAAAUUAAAAAAAAAUUUUUUUUAAAGAUAGUCCAGCAGACAGAUUAACCAUUUUUCAUGUAUAUUCUCCAAGUACCAUUUCUUAAUUUAUAAAGGAAUUAGAAGACGAUGUGCCCUGGCCAUGUUUUCCUUAGCCUCUUGCUCAAAUAUAUUCAUCAAGUUAAAGGUGAUGUAUGUCCUCUCUGUGUAUAUAUACAGGAUUGAAAAUGAGACUGUCUUCCAUACAAGCAGGAUUGAGGAUACUGACCACGAUGUCAAGUGGCGUUAUCUCUACACAGAUCCAUGUGCUAAAUUCCUUCUUGAACUUGGUUUUGGGCGAUGAUAACUUGUAUGCUCACGCUUGUCAGAAAGUGAAACCCUGUAACCUAUCAUGUUUCUCUCCACCUUCCCUGCCAGAAAAAUGCGAACCGAAGUCAUUGCCAAGUGUGGUAAUCUGAUCAACUCUGGUGCCUAGAAGUAUUUACUCCUCCUACUUUCUUCCUAAAUACUUCAUUUGCAAACUGCCUCAAGUAAUUUUAGAAAUCACUCAUGAACGGGUGAAGCCAGUUGCCAAGUCCUGAGACUAUUUAAGAAGCCCUACAGGGAAGGCCAUGUGAUGAACAGCUCAAGUCUCUUUCUUGCCAACAGCCAUGUGAGUGUGCCAUCUUGGAAACCAACCCUUUGGCCUCAGUCAAGUUUUCAGAAGCCUGAACCCCCAAACAAUUUCUUAACUACAAACUCCUGAGAGACUCCCAAGUCAGAACCACGCAGCUAAGCCACUUCCGGAUUCCUGACCCUCAGAAACUCAGUAAGAGAAUAAAUGUGCAUUCUUGCUUAAAGCUCCUAAA